GAAAUGCUCCCGUCGUUUGGG
rnacentral:miRNA from 1 species